rnacentral:precursor_RNA from 14 species
CGUUCAAGACUGACCAGCAGUACUUUCAAAUGUAACAGCAACUCCAUGUGGACUACGCUGACUUCCAGUGGAGAUGCUGUUACUUUUGACAGCCACUCACAGACAUGGAGCAGCUG